rnacentral:rRNA from 1 species
GGAGUCUGGGCCGUGUCUCAGUCCCAAUGUGGCCUUUCAACCUCUCAGUCCGGCUACUGAUCGUCGACUUGGUGGGCCGUUACCCCGCCAACUAUCUAAUCAGACGCGAGUCCAUCUUUCAGCGGAUUGCUCCUUUGAUAUAUCUGCCAUGCGACAAAUAUAUGUUAUGCGGUAUUAGCGUUCGUUUCCAAACGUUAUCCCCCUCUGAAAGGCAGGUUACUCACGCGUUACUCACCCGUCCGCCACUAACUUUCAUCGCCGAAGCGAAUCAGUCCGUUCGACUUGCAUGUGUUAGGCACGCCGCCAGCGUCGUCCUCGAGCCACUGAUCAAACUACU